rnacentral:misc_RNA from 1 species
GAUGAAGAACGCAGCGAAAUGCGAUAAGUAAUGUGAAUUGCAGAAUUCAGUGAAUCAUCGAAUCUUUGAACGCACAUUGCGCCCCCUGGUAUUCCGGGGGGCAUGCCUGUCCGAGCGUCAUUACAACCCUCAAGCUCAGCUUGGUAUUGGGCCCCGCCGACCCGGCGGGCCCUAAAGUCAGUGGCGGUGCCGUCCGGCUCCGAGCGUAGUAAUUCUUCUCGCUCUGGAGGUCCGGUCGUGUGCUCGCCAGCAACCCCCAAUUUCUUUCAGGUUGACCUCGGAUCAGGUAGGGAUACCCGCUGAACUUAAGCAUAUCAAUAAGCGGAGGA